GUAUUAGAAAAAAACCAAAGUGGUGGAUCAGAGUGCAGAGGAGCGGUACCGCCUCCCCCCUCCAAACCCAUCGUCCCGUGUGUCCGUGUUUAGGUGCAUGCGCCUGCGCGUUACCUGCACCAUCGACAUUCAUUCACGCAGACGCCUUCAUUCCUGGACAUACUUCGACAAAGCAGGCGCGCCAUCUUCAUUCUUUUCCCCGCGCGGCAUCCUCGGUCACAGCGCGUGCACGUGCUCACACAUGCAAAAGACCGCAUGUCUCUGCGCUUCCCCACUGUUUGUUCGAACACCGCCGCUCCCUUUCUUACUGGUCUCCAGCUGACGUGUGCGCAGCCUCUCCCGCUUGUUGCUUUUGGACAGCGCUGCACCUGAAAGGCGAGAGGAGCGAGCGGAACGACGACGAAGGCACAUACAGAGCAACACAGCGAAGGCACGGAGACGUGCUGGGUGGCAUCCUUCCGAGGAGUGCCGCACACCCCCUCCCCCUUCUGCAUUCAGUGCAAGGGUGAGGACGGUAGAGGACAGCUCUAGUACCCGUAGUGGGCCACUUACACGCCGCAGAUACAGGAUCACCUGUGUAGAGUGUCCGUGCGUUCGUGCUUGCGCCAUAGAAUACUCAAGAGUCGUCACACACAUACACACAUACACACAUACAGCUGAUCAUCUCCACAAUAUCGCAUAGAGCGUACCAUUCACGGAGAGAAGUCAGAAACGAGGCCGACAAAGCAAGGGGGCACACGAGAAGAGGGAGAGGAGGGAGGGAGGCGGAGGUAUCACGCGAAGCGUCGUAUGCAACCGCCUUCUCGCUCUCUCUUGACUUGUGUUGCUUGUUCCCCUGCCCGCUCACCUGUUCGCUGAUAUACUUGCACCCCGUGUCACCCGCACCUUGAGGGCUUCAUAGUCGCCAAAGCAUCACCCCUUUUUUUUUCGUCUUCGCCGUCGCCCUUGUCUGGUUACUCCCGCGACACUGAAUCUCAUUGAAGACGGCGAGACGAACAGCUACCCUCGGCACUUCCAUGAAGACGACGGUGGGGCGGUGGACGACCUCAUCGCGAGCGAGGCCACGCUUUCCAGGUUCCUGGAUGUCGCCCGGGCUCACGUCGCACCAGCAGCUUGACGCCGGUAUUGCAGCCCGCCAACACGCUAGCCGCAAGGCGCUGAAGAAGUCGAAGCGGCCGUUCGCGAACUACUUCAAGACGGAGUACCGUCUCUCUCCUCUCGCGCGUCUCCCCAUCACACGGACGUCGGGUUUAAUCAGCAACUUUGACGCCGUGCGCAUGAUGACGGACCCGACGCGCAGUUGGGGCACGCCAUGGGACCGCGCCGGCGGCAGGGUGCGCACGCGUCACAAGCGGCAAGAUGUGCUGGAGCCUACCCCGACCCAGCUCGGCGACGACUCGAUGGACCACGUGGUGGAGCGACUGCUCGAGAUUCGCUUUGCCUGGGAUCGCGAAGACGGAGUCCUUUGCACGAGUCUCGUGCCGGAGAGCCUUUUUAGCACCACGAAGCACUGCCGCCCGUAUCUCACGGAGGUGGCCCCAUCGCCGCUAAGCUCGUCGACAUCGCUUUCGCCGCGCGAGUCAGCCGUGGGCGGCGGCCGGGGGCGACACAGCUGUGACCUAAACAUCUCUACUGAGGAUGGGGAGGUCGUCAUGAUUACCGGAACACCGGUGCGUAUCAGGCGGCGCACUCCGCUUGUGCGGCGCAAGUCUGGUCAGCCAAAGCGACCCCACACGCGGUCCACCCUGGGCUUCAGCGGUGUUGACACGGUACCGUCGCUGGUACUGGACGUGUCUCACGGUCCGUUUCUCACCAGCCCAAGCGCACCACUCAUGACCCUGCGGUGGAAGGGAGAGCACCGCGAUGCGGCCAGCGCGCAGAGCGCCCUGCAGCUUCUCCGCCGUGCGCGAGCAGUGCCGACCGUAGGUCUCUCACCUCGCUUGUCGCUGCUGCUUCUCAAGGCGCUGGCCACGGUAGAGGUGGAGGAGCCGGCGCUGGCGGUCUCACUUGCCAUUGCGAUGGGAGAGAACUACAACGGCUACUCGGAUACGGAGUGCCUCGAGCUACUUCGCUGUCUACGGCGCCUCGCGCUCGUGCGGGAGCUGCCCGGCGUUGCCGCACCCGACAUCGACACGUCCGCACUGAGCUCCGCGUCAGCCGCUGCCGGCAGGUCGCCGCCAACGUUGUACACGGAGGCCGCGCUCGCAGACGCGCUCCUAUUCCACUACCUUGACGACGCUGCGCCGUUCCUCGUGGCGAAGGUGUGGUCCCGGCUGCCCGAGCAAAGCCAUCGCCUGCUGAACCGCGGAUAUUUCCUGGACUGGCUCGACCUAAUGAGCCUCGCCAUCGCCGCCAGUGGGCCGCAGCGCCUACCGGAGCGGCUGCCGAACGCGGUCAGCGAGGCGCCGUACGCUGCCAAGUACCUCUUUUUCCGCUACACACUUGGGCUUAAGGAGGAUGUGCUGCGCGCUCUCGUUGAUCAUCUGCGCGGCUUCACGACGUCGACAGACUCGACACUGCAGCAGACGAGAAACCCGCAUGCCGACUACCCGCACACACUUCCGACGGCAUCGAGCACGUCCAGUAGCAUGCACGCCGCACCUCUGCACUUUGUGGACGAGGUCAAGGAGGAGGUGUACAAACCCCUGCUUCUGUGGCUCUGCGCCGCCCUACUCGUGCGCAUCGUUGCGGAGUCCCUCGGCGACGUGGUGCGGCACGUGGGCGACUCACUGCAUCAACACGCCGCCUUGGCUGCGGAGCAGGCAGAGGCGCAGCGCACCCAGCACGAGGACUCCCUCGUGUGCCAAAAUCACCGACUUGGUGAUCCUGACAGCAGCUCUGAUCCGGCGUCCGCACCGCUGGGCCUGCAUCAGCCCUACCCUCGUUUCAGCAACGGCGCCUAUCAGCAGAUGGGCUGUCGCCGACCAAAGCGUGUGCGGGUGCGACUGCUGCCCUUCGAAGCGUUCCCUCGCGUGUCACAGUGCUUCUCCUGCCCCUUUGCGGCAGUGACGGAGAAGGCGGAGGCGCAGGAGCAUAAGCGGCGCCGUCGACACGGCAAGCCACAAGGCUUCUUCUUCACGUCGAACAACGGCGGUGCUACAGCCAGAGCCUACGACGCGCAUGCCGUGGCUCUGAGUAACACGAGUGACGCAAGCAGCAGCGCGGGGGAGCGGAAACCGCUGAAAGAGGUGGAGUCGACCUUCGCCUCUGUGCUGGCUGACUCGCCGUUCAUGGCGAAGCACAUUGAGCGCGCAUGCGCGGCACUCGUGUGGAGCACAAUGGUGCUGCGGUCGUGCCAUGCGCUCGUGCGCGACCUCCCUCUUGUGCGCCCGCCUCCGUUGCCGUUGUCGAUGCCGAGCGCAAACACCGACGGUGCUGCUGCCGCAUCCCCGAGGGGGUCUGCGGCACCGCUCCACCAUGAAGGCAGCGGCGACGAGUGGGCGCACGAGUCGGCGGCAAUGGAGGUGCGUCAAGCGCUGUGCUACCGCUUUGUCCGCUCAAGUGUACAGCAGCACAUCGACGCUCUGUUCGCCUUUAUUCCGUGGGCCGAGAUGGAGUCGGCCUGGGAGCCGGCGCUGACGGCUGGCGUCAAGGCAGCAGAGGAAAUUUCAGCGCGGGAUGCCGCGGGCGCUGCGGCCGCAGACAACGCCGCCUCACUUACGGCCGCGACUCUUGAGGCUGUGCUUAUGGAAGAUGGCGUGGGACCAUCACAGGCGUCUGCGAGCACGGGGUCGGCCGCUACGCUGUCCGAAGCAGAGCAGCGUGCACGGGCCACAAUGGAGGGGCUGCGCGAGCGACUCGAGGAGUUUCAGGUGGCAGUUGCUGAGCUGCUCGAGGCGCAUGAGACCUCCUUCCCUGAUGCCGGGUUUCCUGCCUCCUCCUCGUCCUUGCGCGCUGGUGGGGGUGAUGAUCUUUGAGGUGAGCAGCGAGAGAGGCGCGCGCAUGCUGCACACACACACACACACACCCACACACUCACACAACGGACAUUGUGCACCGGUACAACUAAGCGCCAUAGAUGCAGAGGAAGCGAAAUAUUGGCCAUAAAGGAUAAGAGGAGCAGAUCGGUCGGCGGUAGUGGGAGCAGGGGCACACAGACUCCCACUCCCUUCCAACACGCAUGCGUGAGAAUCAACAAGGCUGCGUCGCCUCCUCACAUGCACCACCACCACCGUACCUUAAAGCCGCGCGGGCAUCUUCUGGAUGCGCUUACGUGAACCAAGCAUACACAGGGAACGUACGGAAGGAAGGGCGGAAGUUGGUAGCGCGUUGUCUAGGGUACUCACGUAUGC
rnacentral:misc_RNA from 1 species